rnacentral:rRNA from 1 species
UACGUAGGGGGCAAGCGUUGUCCGGAUUUAUUGGGCGUAAAGAGCGUGUAGGCGGUCAGGUAGGUCGGUUGUGAAAACUCAGGGCUUAACCCUGAGCUUGCAGUGGGUACGGGCAGACUAGAGUGCGGUAGGGGAGACUGGAAUUCCUGGUGUAGCGGUGAAAUGCGCAGAUAUCAGGAGGAACACCGGUGGCGAAGGCGGGUCUCUGGGCCGUAACUGACGCUGAGGAGCGAAAGCAUGGGGAGCGAACAGG